rnacentral:rRNA from 1 species
CCUACGGGUGGCAGCAGUGAGGAAUAUUGGUCAAUGGGCGCGAGCCUGAACCAGCCAAGCCGCGUGAGGGAUGACAGUUCUAUGGAUCGUAAACCUCUUUUAUAAGGGAAUAAAGUUUGGGACGUGUCCUCUUUUGUAUGUACCUUAUGAAUAAGGAUCGGCUAACUCCGUGCCAGCAGCCGCGGUAAUACGGAGGAUCCGAGCGUUAUCCGGAUUUAUUGGGUUUAAAGGGUGCGUAGGCGGCCUUUUAAGUCAGCGGUGAAAUUCUGUGGCUCAACCCUGGAAUUGCCGUUGAUACUGGUGGGCUUGAGUAUGUGUGAGGCAGGCGGAAUGCGUGGUGUAGCGGUGAAAUGCUUAGAGAUCACGCAGAACCCCGAUUGCGAAGGCAGCCUGCCAAGCCAUGACUGACGCUGAUGCACGAAAGCGUGGGGAGCAAACAGGAUUAGAUACCCGGGUAGUC